rnacentral:rRNA from 1 species
AGAUUGAACGCUGGCGGAAUGCUUUACACAUGCAAGUCGAGCGGCAGCGCGGGGGCAACCCUGGCGGCGAGCGGCGAACGGGUGAGUAAUACAUCGGAACGUGUCCUGGAGUGGGGGAUAGCUCGGCGAAAGCCGGAUUAAUACCGCAUAAGCUCUGAGGAGGAAAGCGGGGGAUUCGCAAGGACCUCGCGCUGUUGGAGCGGCCGAUGUCGGAUUAGCUAGUUGGUGGGUAAAGGCCCACCAAGGCGACGAUCCGUAGCUGGUCUGAGAGGAUGAUCAGCCACACUGGAACUGAGACACGGUCCAGACUCCUACGGGAGGCAGCAGUGGGAAUUUGGACAAUGGGGGCAACCUGAUCCAGCCAUUCCGCGUGAGUGAAGAAGGCCUUCGGUUGUAAAGCUCUUUCGGACGGAACGAAAUGGUUACGGCUAACACCUGUGACUGAUGACGUACCGUAAGAAGAAGCACCGGACUAACUACGUACCAGCAGCCGACGUAAUC